CCGUCGGCUACGAGGACGACGCUGGCGCGUGCUUAACACAUGCAAGUCGAACGAUGAACCGGAGCUUGCUCCGGGGAUUAGUGGCGAACGGGUGAGUAACACGUGGGCAACCUGCCCCAGACACCGGGAUAACCUUCCGAAAGGAUGGCUAAUACCGGAUACGACCACUUCGGGCAUCCGACGGUGGUGGAAAGGAUUCUGGUCUGGGAUGGGCCCGCGGCCUAUCAGCUUGUUGGUGGGGUAAUGGCCUACCAAGGCGACGACGGGUAGCCGGCCUGAGAGGGCGACCGGCCACACUGGGACUGAGACACGGCCCAGACUCCUACGGGAGGCAGCAGUGGGGAAUAUUGCGCAAUGGGCGAAAGCCUGACGCAGCGACGCCGCGUGAGGGACGAAGGUCUUCGGAUUGUAAACCUCUUUCAGCAGGGACGAAGCGAAAGUGACUGUACCUGCAGAAGAAGCACCGGCUAACUACGUG
rnacentral:rRNA from 1 species